rnacentral:rRNA from 1 species
CCUAGUAACGGCGAGUGAAGCGGCAACAGCUCAAAUUUGAAAUCUGGCUCUUUAGAGUCCGAGUUGUAAUUUGUAGAGGAUGCUUUUGGCGCGGUGCCUUCCGAGUUCCCUGGAACGGGACGCCUUAGAGGGUGAGAGCCCCGUACGGUUGGACACCAAGCCUCUGUAAAGCUCCUUCGACGAGUCGAGUAGUUUGGGAAUGCUGCUCUAAAUGGGAGGUAAAUUUCUUCUAAAGCUAAAUAUUGGCCAGAGACCGAUAGCGCACAAGUAGAGUGAUCGAAAGAUGAAAAGCACUUUGAAAAGAGGGUUAAAUAGCACGUGAAAUUGUUGAAAGGGAAGCGUUUGCGACCAGACCUUUUCCUAGCGGAUCAUCCGGUGUUCUUCACCGGUGCACUUCGCUAGGUCGAGGCCAGCAUCGGUUUCUGCAGGGGGAUAAAAGCCCAGGGAACGUAGCUCUUUCGGGAGUGUUAUAGCCCUCCGCAUAAUACCCUUGCGGGGACCGAGGACCGCGCUUUUCGCAAGGAUGCUGGCGUAAUGGUCGUCAACGACCCGUCUUGAAACACGGACCAAGGAGUCGAACAUUUGUGCGAGUGUUUGGGUGUUAAACCCUCACGCGCAAUGAAAGUGAACGGAGGUGAGAGCCCUUACGGGUGCAUCAUCGACCGAUCCUGAUGUCUUCGGAUGGAUUUGAGUAAGAGCAUAACUGUUCGGACCCGAAAGAUGGUGAACUAUGCGUGGAUAGGGUGAAGCCAGAGGAAACUCUGGUGGAGGCUCGCAGCGGUUCUGACGUGCAAAUCGAUCGUCAAAUCUGCGCAUGGGGG